rnacentral:lncRNA from 1 species
GUUUCUAACCCAACGAAGCGUGCGCCAGUCCAAGCCAAGAGCAGCCAGUUUCUUGAGGAGAAUGCUGUGGGAGACGGUGUCAAAAGCCUUGCUGAAGUCAAGGUAGACCACAUCCACAGCCUUUCCCUCGUCCACCCAGUGCGUCACUUUGUCAUAGAAGGAGAUCAGGUUUGUCAAGCAGGAAAUUGAUUAGUAGUAAAAGAUUGUCCAAAAUUUCAGCCUUUCCUUUCUCUGAAAUAUGAAAAAUUAACUCAUAUUUUCCCUGCUGAAAUCUCAUGGGAUGUUUAAUCUGUUCUCUGAAGUGUCACAUUUUAUUUAAUAGCGUAAGAAAAAGUAGGCUGUCACUUGUAUUGUUACUGUUCAACCUCUGAAAAGAUAUAGAGCGUAUUCAAAGGAUCUUAUACUAUUCUAAAGUUGUUGUUUUGCUCCAUUGUUGUCUUCAGAAACUGUUAUGCUUUGUCACUGAGAUAACGAAGGGAUUUGACGUUUAUCACCUGGAAAAAGUAUAUGGCGUCAUUAAUCAGUGUAUUUACAACCAGAGAGAAGACUAUGACAAAACCGAUUUGGUGAAGCAUUGCUCUUUACUGCUUAGGUGUCUGUGCACAGACAACAAUAACAGUACGACUUCUCCCUUUCAGUCUGGAAGACGUUUAUCCAUCUUGCAAAACCAUUGUUAUAUUUGGCAUAAUUGUUGGCAGUUUCUGCAGGAAAAAGCUUGAACUUGAAGACAACGGGUCCACCCACACAGCCCUUUCAAAGCAGUUAACUUUAAUCUGUCAGUAGUUUUCCUUGAGAACCAUUUUGGGAGUGGGAGGACUACGAAGGGAAGGUGCUUUUCUAAGUCUUUCACUCUCUCUCUCUCCCUCUACAGCCAGUCAUGCACGGUGAUAGCAGUUGUUCAUCCCUGGAGAGAAAUUUAAGUAUAUAACAAGAGUUUGAGACUUCUCUCUAGUCACACUCUAAUCUCUUUUUAACUAAUGCGCUUGAGCAUCUGUAACUGGGGAGAUUUCUGCCUGUGCCAGUUUUACACUGAGUCAAAUUCUCUGGUCUCUUCCUGUAAAAGAUGAUUUCGGAGUUGUCCGAACUCCUCCGAAAUCUGCGUGAGGCGUCCAUGGUCCAAGUCAGGUGUUACCAGUAUACGCUGGAUAUUCACUCUUCACAUUGAAGAUCCUUGAACCCAUUUAUCUUAGAGUUGCUUGUGCUUGAGAACAGAUAAAAUGUGUUGUGCUGAUCAGUCUGCCUUAAAAAGAGAGUGCCUCUUUUUUUUAGGCACUGGUCAUCUCGAUCUCUUUUUCCACAUCCGAUAAAGAGUUAGAACGGACACUCUGUUCUGCCUGUGAGAGGAGUAUUUAGAUUCAGGGAGGCCGCUCCUGAAAAAAAAAAUGAGAUCUUUUAGCUUGAGAAGGGAUUUAUUUCUAAUCUCAUGGCCUGUGAACUUUUGUAACUUAACAUUUAAUUUAAGUAUUAAAAGUCAAGUAGCUUUCUUGGUUUUCUAUUUCUUCCUUUAGCAUAGGCAAACAAAUCUCUCCUAUUCAGAGUGCACUGUACAAGUUAGUCAGGAGCGUGCUCUACUGUAUGGAGAGAGAGAGAGAACUUAAGGAGUAAUUAUUCAAAGUCCAGAAAUUAACUUGAGCUUGUUGUGGCUUCUCAGCAACUGUUUCUUCUUUCUAAUUGUUGUGAAACCACUGCUGAGAGAGAUCCAUAUAGUUGAUAUCCUCC